rnacentral:lncRNA from 1 species
CCCCGCUCCCCCCCAAACACACUCGCACACGGGCUCUCAAGGUGUUCUCCGCACAGCGGAAGAUGGCGACAGACUGAGGGGGCAUGGCCAGCGGGAGCCACGGGGCCGUGCCGCUGGGCGGCCGCCACAGCGGUGCAAAUGAGAGGCGGAAGCGAGAAGCGCACUAAGUAAAGCCCCGUGUCCGCGUCCGGCGCCUGUGGCGCUGCCAGGAGCCAGGUGGACCGCCCGAGCCGGAACUCCGGGAGCAGCGGGUGCGGAGCCAGAGCGGAGCCGGCCCGGGACCGGCCCCGCGAACGGCAGGAGCACAAGCGAAGCCCGAAGGGCUGGGCGAAGGACUGGUCGGUCGGCCUAGGAGGGCGCGAGCGAGGCAGGGAGCGGCGCUGAGCGGGCAGCGGGCGGACGGGCGGGAGAGGAGCGGCGCGGGGCGAGGGGAGCAGAGCGGAGCGCGGCGGUGGGGCCCGCACGGCGGCGCUGAGGGGCGCAGAGCUGCGCCGAACCGAGACGGCCGGAACAGAGUGUGAGCCGGGCAGCCGCCGGCGCAGAGUGAAGUGGCGCGGAGCCGAGGGCAGCUGAGGGGCCCGACACUAUGAGGAGUGCGGCACCGCCGCCGCAGC